UACGUAGGGGGCGAGCGUUGUCCGGAAUCAUUGGGCGUAAAGAGCUCGUAGGCGGUUCAGCAAGUCGGCUGUGAAAUUCCGAGGCUCAACCUCGGAACUGCAGUCGAUACUGCUGUGACUCGAGUCCGGUAGAGGAGAAUGGAAUUCCCGGUGUAGCGGUGAAAUGCGCAGAUAUCGGGAGGAACACCAGUAGCGAAGGCGGUUCUCUGGGCAUGUCCUGACGCUGAGGAGCGAAAGUGUGGGGAGCGAACAGG
rnacentral:rRNA from 1 species